rnacentral:rRNA from 1 species
CCUUGUACACACCGCCCGUCACGCCAUGGAAGUUGGUUCUACCUGAAGCCGGUGCGCUAACGUAAGAGGCAGCCGACCACGGUAGGGUCAAUGACUGGGGGCG